GGCUGGAGUUCAGACGUGUACUCUGUCUCUGUAAACCCCAAUAACUCUACUAACAAAAUUACUCCCCAGAACACUACAAGCAAUAGCUUGAAACUCAAAGGACCUGGCGGUGCUUUACAUCCGUCUAGAGGAGCCUGUUCUGUAAUUGAUAUACCCCGAUAAACCUCACCACCUCUUGCCCCCAGCCUGUAUACCGCCAUCCUCAGCAAACUCCCUAAAGAUCGUAAAGUAAGCAGAAGUAUUACCAUAAAAACGUUAGGUCAAGGUGCAGCCAAUGAAGUGGAAAGAAAUGGGCUACAUUUUCUAAUCUAGAAAAAUUACACGAUAGCCUUUAUGAAAUUUAAAGGCCCAAGGUGGAUUUAGCAGUAAAUCAAGAAUAGAGAGCUUGACUGAAGCAAGGCCAUUAAGCACGCACACA